UGGGCAACAGAGCGGGACCCUGUCUCAAAUAAAUAAAUAAAUAGGAUGAAUGCAGCUGACAUACUUUUUUCCAGUACGUCAUGAACUAGAUAAUGAAGUGUUUCUAUGUUCCCUUUUUUCCUUGCAUGAUGGCUCUUGAGGUCCUUUUGAGAGUGAGGAUAAAGGUCAUACUCUAAGGAGGGAAAGUACAAAACUAAAGCAAUACUCACUUUGUGACGAAAUUGUGAAGCCUCCAUACCAGCACUUGACUACCAAUCUCCCAUGAGAAAAAUAAACAAACCCUAUGUUGCUUAAGCCAUUGAGUUCGGGGUUUUUGACACUAGCAGACAAGUACAAUUCCUAACCAACAGACCUAGGGAUGAUGCCCUUGACUGGUGUUCAGGAGCAUUUAUUAGGUCCCUGUGUGGAUUAUACUCAAGUUUUUCAGCUUUUCCUAGAAAAGAAGAGUGCCAUGUUGUAACAUAGAAAGUGAGACAUACACGUGGUGGCUCACGCCUGUAAUCCCAGCACUUUGGGAGGCCGAGGCAGAUGGAUCAUGAGGUCAGGAGUUUGAGACCAGCCUGAGCAACAUGGUGAAAUGCCGUCUCUACCAAAAAUUAAAAAUCAGCCGGGCUUGGUGGUGCCCACCUGUAAUCCCAGCUACUCAAGAGGCUGAGGCAGGAGAAUCACUUGAACCCUAGAGGUGGAGGUUGCAGUGAGCUGAGAUCGUGGCAUUGCACUCCAUCCUGGGUGACAGAGCAAGACUCUGUCUGAAAAAAAAAAAAGAAAGAAAAGAAAGUGAGACUUAACAUCUGUCAUUCAUUUAAGGGAGAAAAAAACAUUUAAAAUAUGGUAUCUGUCUUAAAUAAAUGACAACCAACUUGAGAACUAUAUGGCAUAGAACUUGCAUAAUUUCUCGUUCAUAUAAACGAAACUGAAGACCAUGAAGGACUUAGACUGUAAGCCACACAGACUAUAGUUAAGAAAGUAUUGGCCGGGUGUGGUGGCUCACGCCUGUAAUCCCAGCACUUUGGGAGGCCGAGGCGGGUGGAUCACGAGGUCAAGAGAUAGACACCAUCCUGUCUAACACAGUGAAACCCCGUCUCUACUAAAAAUUCAAAAAAUUAGCCGGCGUGGUAGCAGGCGCCUGUAGUCCCAGCUACUCGAGAGGCUGAGGCAGGAGAACGGCGUGAACCCGGGAGGUGGAGGUUGCAGUGAGCCGAGAGCCCGCCACUGUACUCCAGCCUGGGCGACAGAACGAGACAAAAAUUAGCUGGGCGUGGUGGCACAUGCCUGUAGUCCCAGCUACUCCGGAGGCUGAGGCAGGAGAAUCGCUUGAACCCGGGAGGCAGAGGUUGCAGUGAACCAAGAUCACGCCACUGCACUCCAGCCUGGCAGCAGAGUGAGACUCUGUCUCAAAAAAAAAGGAAAAGUAUUCACCAAGAAGGGGAUGAGUGACUUGGGGGGGUUAAUGUUUAUGUAGCCUUUAAAUUAGAAAGGGGAAAAAGUCAAUUCUAGCAAGAAACAGCAUGUGUAAAACCUUGGAAUCGAGCUAAAUACAUGUUGGCAGAGAAGAGUAAAUUAAAAAUCUUGUCUUAAAAAAAGAGAAUUUGUUGCAUUUUAAGAGCUGUAAAAGGAUUUGUAAAAUAUUAAGAGAUUUUAAGAGAACUGGUAGCAUUUUAAGAAUUAAGUUAGGCAACAUGAUGGAAGGUGUUUGAGCUUGAUGACUGGGAAACACAAAAUCUUCAGAUACACUCAGGGAUUCAGUGAAAACAAUGUUUGAGAAGAAAAACUUUGGCAAGUGUUCAUGACUAUUGAUAUAAUGCUUACAAAAUGAAUAAUAAAAUUAAAAUUUAACGUAGGGAUGUUUAAAAUUACUUGAAAGGAAAAACUGUUUACUUACAUUAAAGAUUUAAUGGACAAUUAUGAUGCUUUAUCCAAAUUACAGAAUAAGAAAACUGGUAAGACAAAAGAAAUAAUUUCAUUCAAUCUUCUAACACUUCUAAUGGAGAAUUUCCUCUAGGCUGUUGACUACAGUAUGUGAUCUAUUAUCUUAACUAAUGAACACUGGCGUAGACAGCCUGAUGCAGGUCACAUGACUUUAAAACAUUACAUCAUUGGCCGGGUGCUGUGGCUCAUGCCUGUAAUCCCAGCACUUUGGAAGGCAGAGGCGGGUAGAUCACCUGAGGUUGGGAGUUCAAGACCAGCCUGACCAACAUGGAGAAACUUCAUCUCUGCUAAAAAUACAAAAUUAGCCGGGCGUGGUGACGCAUGCCUAUAAUCCCAGCUACUCGGGAGGCUGAGGCAGGAUAAUUCACUUGAACCCGGGAGACAGAGGUUGUGGUGAGCCGGGAUCGCACCAUUGCACUCCAGCCUGGAUAAUAUAAGUGAAACUCUGUCUCAAAAAAAAAAAAAAAAAAAAAAAAGGCCGUGCAGGGUGGCACGUGCCUGUAAUCC
rnacentral:lncRNA from 10 species